CCUGGAAUGCAAUGAGAUAAAUGCUAGCCAGAACUUCUCAUUCGGUCUCUUCCCAACUCCUUAAUGAAAGUAGUUCUGGAUUUUCAUUUCUGUGAUGUUUAGAAGCCUCCUAAACUUCAGCUAAGUUCAUCAAGGUCUGAUUUCUCAAUUUACCUAGCAUUUGCCAUUAAUAUGAUAUUUCUUUCCCUUCUGCUAGCAGCAUGAGCUAAUUGAAAGAAAAGUACACAAAUCCUUGUACACAGCUAGAAGAAUCUCCACCCCUCUUUUCCUUCUUUUGGUUUUGUUUUGUUUUUAACUUUGAAGUGUCUCUUCUCCUGGCUGUUACAAUAAUCUGGAAUUCCAAAUGGCUCAAUAGAAACACCACUGUAGGUGUCAUAUAGCAUAAUAUUAGACUAACACCUAAGUUAAGAUAUCAAGGAAGGUCCAAAUGUGAUGCAUUUAUGGUUUAGCUAUGAAGCCUUGCCUUGCAGAUCAAUUUUUAUGGGUGGCAUCACUAAAAUUAAUGAGACUGCUAAGAAAUACAUGUUUAAUUUCUGCUUACAAAGACGUGAAUUCACUCUGGAAUUUUCGGUACCUGUUGGGUACGUAAACAAAAUGUAUGACUGGAAGACUGAUUUAUUCUGAUAGACUCUGCAAGUACCUUAAAGCUUUCUUAAUAUGCAUGAGUGCUUGCAUCUGCAGGAUGUGGGUGCAUGAGCAAGUGAAUCCGGAGACUUUAAGUGUUUAUGCUUCAUCAUCAAGACAUGUUGUGUGAAAUGAUGCUUGCUGCUAGUUCCAUCUGUGCUUGUUAUUUUAUAUUGCUGUGCUGUGGCCAUUUCUGAAUGCAGAUUCAUAUCUGUAAAACAUCUGAUUGUGUACUUUAACUUAGCAAACAUGCUUAUUUCUACUGAACAGUAUAAAACUGAAGUGAAUGAAAAACUAACAGAAAGAUUAAA